rnacentral:miRNA from 1 species
GGAUUGGGCUGGUGGCU